UAUUUUUAAUUGACAUAGGCCAAGUCAUCUAG
rnacentral:tRNA from 1 species